rnacentral:rRNA from 1 species
UACGUAGGGGGCAAGCGUUGUCCGGAUUUAUUGGGCGUAAAGAGCGUGUAGGCGGCCAGGUAGGUCGGAUGUGAAAACUCGAGGCUCAACCUCGAGAUGUCGACCGAAACCAUCUGGCUAGAGUCCGGAAGAGGAGAAUGGAAUUCCCGGUGUAGCGGUGAAAUGCGCAGAUAUCGGGAAGAACACCCGUGGCGAAGGCGGUUCUCUGGGACGGUACUGACGCUGAGACGCGAAAGCGUGGGGAGCGAACAGG